rnacentral:lncRNA from 1 species
ACAAAAGGGCCAAGAUGAUGAAUUACCUUCGGUCCCUUGGCGGAGCAAACCCAGGUGCAACCUUGCGCAAAAUAUUGCGCAAGGUUGCAUCAAAUGAGGUCUUAGGUGUCUACAGCCUCAAAGGGAAAAAAGGCAAACUACCCUUCCAAAACCUGAAUCUAUGCAACAUGAUCAUAGGCAAGUUAUAAGUCUUUUUCUAUAGUUCUAGCCAAUUUUUUUUCGCACUUGUUCUACUUGUUGUGCACUUUGCACACAAUUGUUCUUGUCCCAAUGUACAUCAUUUUAAAUAAAACCAUAUCCAAAUGGCUACGAUGUUGACAUGAUAUUAUUCCUACCUCUAGGGGCAAUGCAGAAGGUGUACACGUCUCUAAAGGCCAGUAAUAUUGAAGACCUCAUUUCAAUGGUCCUAAAAUUUGCCCCACACAGGCGUUUAAAAUGGUAUGUAAUAGUGUCAGUUUUGUUUAAAUUUUCAAUGAUUUAAUGAACCUCAUGCAAAAUAAAGUUUUGAUAUUAGUUUUAAUAAAAUCUAAACUUAAGUUAGAAAGUAUAACAAAACCCAGAUUUUUUUUUAUGCCUAUAAUUUCUUACUGACUUGUCUUUUUUUUUCCCCUUUGUUUUUUUUCGCAGCUGAGGAAGUGAAGACUUCGAGAAGUUUUACAAUUUUGUUCACCGUAUACGUUUUCAGUUUUGUUCCCUGCACACGUUCACUGUACACAAUGAACUUAUACAUUUUGUUUGUUGUUUAAAAUAAAAGGUUCAGAUCCAAUUUCAGACAUUGAAAUCUUUUCUUUAAAUGCAAGUCAUAUACAUAUAUAAUUCAUGGUUCAUAUGAUUAUAUACAAUAACAAUAUUAUUGUUGUACUACAAUAAAAUGUAUACAAUAAACUAUGUAGAAGUAUUGGCUUGUUUACUGAUUAAUGUACAGAAAUCAGAAUGUAGUGGUUAGGAGAACGUUCCGAGAACGUUCCCUAUUGGUUA